rnacentral:rRNA from 1 species
AGUGAACGCUGGCGGUAGGCCUAACACAUGCAAGUCGAACGGCAGCACAGUAAGAGCUUGCUCUUACGGGUGGCGAGUGGCGGACGGGUGAGGAAUACAUCGGAAUCUACUUUUUCGUGGGGGAUAACGUAGGGAAACUUACGCUAAUACCGCAUACGACCUACGGGUGAAAGCAGGGGAUCUUCGGACCUUGCGCGAUUGAAUGAGCCGAUGUCGGAUUAGCUAGUUGGCGGGGUAAAGGCCCACCAAGGCGACGAUCCGUAGCUGGUCUGAGAGGAUGAUCAGCCACACUGGAACUGAGACACGGUCCAGACUCCUACGGGAGGCAGCAGUGGGGAAUAUUGGACAAUGGGCGCAUGCCUGAUCCAGCCAUACCGCGUGGGUGAAGAAGGCCUUCGGGUUGUAAAGCCCUUUUGUUGGGAAAGAAAAGCAGCAGGUUAAUACCCCGCUGUUCUGACGGUACGCAAAGAAUAAGCACCGGCUAACUUCGUG